rnacentral:tRNA from 1 species
AAAGGGAGACCUAAUUCGGGUAUAAGACGAAAAAAUAGUAGUCGAAACCAAGAAUCAAUCCCAAAAGGUCGGAACGAGGUAUGAGGCUUUCAAACUAGGUUCUGGGUUCAUAAAAGACCUGAAUCAGGAACAAGGGCUAUUAGCUCAGGUGGUUAGAGCGCACCCCUGAUAAGGGUGAGGUCCCUGGUUCGAGUCCAGGAUGGCCCACCUGCACAGGUGGCAAAAACAAAGAAGCGAGGAAUCAGCACCUUAUCUUACUUACAUAGUAAGAGAGAAUGCUGGCUCUGAGUAAAGAGUCCAGAGGAACCUUGAAAACUGCAUAGAGCUAGGUGAAAAAGCCAAAAAAGAAGACCGCAAG